GCACCGGUAGUGUAGCGGCAACACGGCAGCUUCCCAAGCUGCAAUUGAGGGUUCGACUCCCUCUCGGUGCU
rnacentral:tRNA from 1 species